rnacentral:rRNA from 1 species
ACUCCUACGGGAGGCAGCAGUGGGGAAUAUUGCACAAUGGGCGCAAGCCUGAUGCAGCCAUGCCGCGUGUAUGAAGAAGGCCUUCGGGUUGUAAAGUACUUUCAGCAGUGAGGAAGGUGGGAGUUCAGUUAAUAGCGCCUCAUUUGACGUUAGCUGCAGAAGAAGCACCGGCUAACUCCGUGCCAGCAGCCGCGGUAAUACGGAGGGUGCGAGCGUUAAUCGGAAUUACUGGGCGUAAAAGCGCAUGCAGGUGGUUUGUUAAGUCAGAUGUGAAAGCCCGGGGCUCAACCUCGGAAUAUGACA